UACGAAGGGGGCUAGCGUUGCUCGGAAUCACUGGGCGUAAAGGGUGCGUAGGCGGGUCUUUAAGUCAGGGGUGAAAUCCUGGAGCUCAACUCCAGAACUGCCUUUGAUACUGAAGAUCUUGAGUUCGGGAGAGGUGAGUGGAACUGCGAGUGUAGAGGUGAAAUUCGUAGAUAUUCGCAAGAACACCAGUGGCGAAGGCGGCUCGCUGGGACGCAACUGACGCUGAGACGCGAAAGCGUGGGGAGCAAACAGG
rnacentral:rRNA from 1 species